UACGUAGGGUCCGAGCGUUUGUCCGGAAUUACUGGGCGUAAGAGCUCGUAGGUGGUUUGUCGCGUUGUUCGUGAAAACUCACAGCUUAACUGUGGCGUGCGGGCGAUACGGGCAGACUAGAGUACUGCAGGGGAGACUGGAAUUCUGGUGUAGCGGUGGAAUGCGCAGAUAUCAGGAGGAACACCGGUGGCGAAGGCGGGAUCUCUGGGCCGAUACUGACGCUGGAGGAGCGAAAGCGUGGGGAGCAAACAGG
rnacentral:rRNA from 1 species